AGUGAACGCUGGCGGUAGGCCUAACACAUGCAAGUCGAACGGCAGCACAGUAAGAGCUUGCUCUUACGGGUGGCGAGUGGCGGACGGGUGAGGAAUACAGCGGAAUCUACUUUUUCGUGGGGGAUAACGUAGGGAAACUUACGCUAAUACCGCAUACGACCUACGGGUGAAAGCAGGGGAUCUUCGGACCUUGCGCGAUUGAAUGAGCUGAUGUCGGAUUAGCUAGUUGGCGGGGUAAAGGCACACCAAGGCGACGAUCCGUAGCUGGUCUGAGAGGAUGAUCGGCCACACUGGAACUGAGACACGGUCCAGACUCCUCCGAGAGGCAGCAGUGGGGAAUAUUGGACAAUGGGCGCAAGCCUGAUCCAGCCAUACCGCGUGGGUGAAGAAGGCCUUCGGGUUGUAAAGCCCUUUUGUUGGGAAAGAAAAGCAGCAGGUUAAUACCCCGCUGUUCUGACGGUACCCAAAGAAUAAGCACCGGCUAACUUCGUG
rnacentral:rRNA from 1 species